UGUCAUUUGCUCUAUGGUGGAUCAUCA
rnacentral:piRNA from 1 species